rnacentral:rRNA from 1 species
AUUGAACGCUGGCGGCAGGCUUAACACAUGCAAGUCGAGCGCGCCGCGGACGGGUGAGUAAUGUCUGGGAAACUGCCUGAUGGAGGGGGUUAACUACUGGAAACGGUAGCAAAUACCGCAUACCAUCAGAUGUGCCCAGAUGGGAUUAGCCAGUAGGUGGGGUAAUGGCUCACCUAGGCGACGAUCCCUAGCUGGUCUGAGAGGUUGACCGGCCACACUGGAACUGAGACACGGUCCAGACUCCUACGGGAGGCAGCAGUGGGGAAUAUUGCACAAUGGGCGCAAGCCGGAUGCAGCCAUGCCGCGUGUGUGAAGAAGGCCUUCGGGUUGUAAAGCACUUUCAGCGGGGAGGCGUUACCCGCAGAAGAAGCACCGGCUAACUCCGUGCCAGCAGCCGCGGUAAUAC